AUAAACUGGCCCCUCCCUUGACAUCCUCAGGUCACGGUUAGCUCAGCUCACCCAAUCAACCACCCAGUUCUCAGGGCAGGAUUAGCUGGUUGCCUGCAUGGGGCCAAAUAAGGAUUUUUGUUUGUUUGCACCUGAUUGGCUGUGGCUGUGGAUUUUCCCCCCACCUACUUCUUACUGAGCACUUAAGGGCUUCCUUGCCAACAGAAGUGGUGGCAGAAGUCAUGGUGGCCCGAGUCACACGGCCAGGGCCUAUGGUGGAUAUGCAGGGCAAGGUUUGGAGGAGGAGGAGUGCUAGAGGAACCUCAGACAACAAGUCACCCAGCACUGGCAACAGCCUGUCGCCUACCCAAGAACAAGCUCUUGAAAAACUCGCCAUAAUAACUCCAACAACCAGCAGCAACUUGUCAAGGAGUAGAUUAGGUUCUGUCCCUUCAUUUCAGUGGUAACUGCAACAGGAUGGCUAUUUUUUUAACUGAUGGAAUUAAUGCACAUUUCUUUGUCCCCCCUGAUUCAAAAUACAUUUUCUCAGGAGUAA